AUCAUUAUGAAACCCCGUGAAUCUUCUCUCCAUUAUGGUAGCACUAAUCGUGUGUUAGUUUCAGCUAGUGAAUCUUCAAUUAUAUUUCAACUUUUUUUCCUUCUUCAAUUUCCUUCUUGAUUUUUUCUGUGGCUUUUUGUUUCAAUUCGAAAUUAUGAACAAAAAAUCGAAAGCUAAUGUUACGCUCCGAAAAGAUCUCAGAUUAGAACAUAUGCAUGGUGUGAGCAAUCGAUCAACCUUCAAUUUGCUCACACAAACAUUGAAAAAGAAGUCAAGAAUAAUACGAAAAGUGGCAGUAUUGCCAUCGGUAUCAAUUCUACAAAACAAACCUCUAAAAAGAGAAAGUAUAAGAAUGUCGCAUCUACUCCAUCGAAAGAUUCAGACUCCGACUUUAUUCAUGAUUCACAAGUUAAAAGAGGUAAAAAAAAUAAUUAAAGGAGGGACUUCAUGAGCGAAAAAAUUCAAGCCUAGUGUGGGUGUGAACACAGAUUUGAAAGAUUCCAAGAAAAAAAAAAGAAGGAAAGAUGUUCUGAAGGGACCGGCAUUGCUCCACACUCUCUUCCUCAUGGCUAAGUUAGAUUAUUGAAGGAUAAUACUAUUGUGAUACAGGUGUUAGAGAUCAUCAAUAGGCGCUGCGUUGAAGAUCUAUUUUUAUUUCCUGAUAGUGGUGAGACCUCCUUGCUUUCGGAGAAAAUAAUAUUAUUUCAUUUUACCUUUUGAUAUUUUCUUUUGGGUAGCCAUGAACUUGUUAUUGGCACCUUCUGGAUAGUGAUAGAGGCUAUAUAGACAGAUAGUAAAUGUGUCGAGUAAAUGUUUUGAUUUUGAAAACUAUCCUUUGAUACAGAGUUGAGACGAGGUUGGUUUUAAAUACAUUAUUCUUCUUGAAUCGUUGAUUUGGCUAACACACUUGAAUGUCUUUUUAAAUUGCAUCGAGUCUUCCGCUGAGUGAUUGAAUGAGUGAUCGGACCAAGUGGUUCGCUUGAGGACCAG